UAGGCCUACCACAUGCAAGUCGAACGAGUAACAGAAAGAGCUUGCUCUUUGCUGACGAGUGGCGCACGGGUGCGUAACACGUAAUGGCAACUUACCCUAUACUGGAGGAUAGCCCAGAGAAAUUUGGAUUACUACCCUAUAAUAUCACGAAUUCGCAUGUUUUUGUGAUCAAAGAAUUUCGGUAUUGGAUAGGCAUGCGGCCCAUUAAUUAGUUGGUGAGGUAACGCCUCACCAAGACUGCGAUGGGUAGGGGUCUGAGAGGAUGAUCCCCCACACUGCUACUGAGACACGGUACCAAAUUCAUACGGG
rnacentral:rRNA from 1 species